rnacentral:lncRNA from 1 species
AAGAAGUCAGGCCGGAUUAAGCCAUAGCACGGCAAGAGCUAUGCUGCCUGUGAGCCCCGUCUAAGGACGUAAAAUGAAGUCAGGCCGAAAGCCACGGUUUGAGCAAGCCGUGCUGCCUGUAGCUCCAUCGUGGGGAUGUAAAAACCUGGGAGGCUGCAAACCAUGGAAGCUGUACGCAUGGGGUAGCAGACUAGUGGUUAGAGGAGACCCCUCCCAAAACACAACGCAGCAGCGGGGCCCAACACCUGGGAAAGCUGUACCCUGGUGGUAAGGACUAGAGGUUAGAGGAGACCCCCCG